GUGGGGAAUAUUGGACAAUGGGGGCAACCCUGAUCCAGCGACGCCGCGUGUGUGAAGAAGGCCUGCGGGUUGUAAAGCACUUUUAGUGGGGAGGAAGGUCUGCGACCUAACACGUCGUGGAAUUGACUUAACCCACAGAAAAAGCACCGGCUAACUCUGUGCCAGCAGCCGCGGUAAUACAGAGGGUGCAAGCGUUAAUCGGAAUUACUGGGCGUAAAGCGUGCGUAGGCGGUUUCGUAAGUCGGAUGUGAAAGCCCCGGGCUCAACCUGGGAAUUGCAUUCGAGACUGCGAAGCUGGAGUGCGGAAGAGGGAAGUGGAAUUUCCGGUGUAGCGGUGAAAUGCGUAGAUAUCGGAAGGAACAUCAGUGGCGAAAGCGACUUCCUGGUCCAGCACUGACGCUCAGGCACGAAAGCGUGGGGAGCAAACAGGAUUAGAAACCCCAGUAGUCC
rnacentral:rRNA from 1 species